AUUGAACGCUGGCGGAAUGCUUUACACAUGCAAGUCGAACGGCAGCACGGACUUCGGUCUGGUGGCGAGUGGCGAACGGGUGAGUAAUGUAUCGGAACGUGCCCAGUCGUGGGGGAUAACGUAGUGAAAAUUACGCUAAUACCGCAUACGAUCUAUGGAUGAAAGCGGGGGAUCGCAAGACCUCGCGCGAUUGGAGCGGCCGAUAUCAGAUUAGGUAGUUGGUGGGGAAAAGGGCCACCAAGCCAAAGAUCUGUAACUGGUCUGAGAGGACGACCAGCCACACUGGAACUGAGACACGGUCCAGACUCCUACGGGAGGCAGCAGUGGGGAAUUUUGGACAAUGGGCGAAAGCCUGAUCCAGCCAUUCCGCGUGCAGGAUGAAGGCCCUCGGGUUGUAAACUGCUUUUGUACAGAACGAAAAGGUUUCUACUAAUACUAGGAGCUCAUGACGGUACUGUAAGAAUAAGCACCGGCUAACUACGUGCCAGCAGCCGCGGUAA
rnacentral:rRNA from 1 species